rnacentral:sRNA from 1 species
ACUGUUCUUAGGUCAAGGAUAUGCAAGCAGCUGCACUCCCCAGCUAGAACCUCCAAGCAAUCUCUCAAGGUCUAAAGAAACCUGUUUCCAAGC